rnacentral:rRNA from 1 species
AACGAACGCUGGCGGCAGGCUUAACACAUGCAAGUCGAACGCACCUUCGGGUGAGUGGCAGACGGGUGAGUAACGCGUGGGAACCUUCCCUGUGGUACGGAAUAGCUCCGGGAAACUGGAAUUAAUGCCGUAUACGCCCUUCGGGGGAAAGAUUUAUCGCCAUAGGAUGGGCCCGCGUCGGAUUAGCUUGUUGGUAGGGUAAUGGCCUACCAAGGCAACGAUCCGUAGCUGGUCUUAGAGGAUGAUCAGCCACACUGGGACUGAGACACGGCCCAGACUCCUACGGGAGGCAGCAGUGGGGAAUAUUGGACAAUGGGCGCAAGCCUGAUCCAGCCAUGCCGCGUGAGUGACGAAGGCCUUAGGGUUGUAAAGCUCUUUUGGCGGGGACGAUAAUGACGGUACCCGCAGAAUAAGCCCCGGCUAACUUCGUG